rnacentral:tRNA from 1 species
GCCCCGGUAGCUCAGCCCGGUAGAGCAGCGGACUUUUAAUCCGGUGGUCGGCGGUUCGAGUCCGCCCCGGGGCACCA